rnacentral:rRNA from 1 species
AUCGUGCUUUGCGGCACGAGUUGUAGAUUGCAGGUUGGAGUCUGUGUGGAAGGCGGUGUCCAAGUCCCUUGGAACAGGGCGCCCAGGAGGGUGAGAGCCCCGUGGGAUGCCGGCGGAAGCAGUGAGGCCCUUCUGACGAGUCGAGUUGUUUGGGAAUGCAGCUCCAAGCGGGUGGUAAAUUCCAUCUAAGGCUAAAUACUGGCGAGAGACCGAUAGCGAACAAGUACUGUGAAGGAAAGAUGAAAAGCACUUUGAAAAGAGAGUGAAACAGCACGUGAAAUUGUUGAAAGGGAAGGGUAUUGCGCCCGACAUGGGGAUUGCGCACCGCUGCCUCUCGUGGGCGGCGCUCUGGGCUUUCCCUGGGCCAGCAUCGGUUCUUGCUGCAGGAGAAGGGGUUCUGGAACGU